CUAAUGCGCCUUGAAAUGAGGAACACAAAAGUCACGUGUAAACAAAAAAUCUCUGUGUAGUGAUAUUUGACACAUUUCUAUGAUAAACAAAUAACUGAGCUGAACCAUUAGUGUUAAUUUAGAAAAUAAGGGAACACAGAAUAAAUGUGUAAAAACCAUGGAGCUAUGAAAUGUGUUCAAAGUAUUAAAAUUUCAAAGAACUUAUUGUGUUAAAAUUGGGAUUUUUUACCAUGAGGAGCGACAUCGCAAAAGGAUACUCGGGGUUUGCUAAAUUACGGAAAAAUGAAUCACACUUCGUACCCCGAAAAUUUAACCACAUAUGUAAAAAUGUCUCAGCUUCGAAACAAGCCAUCAUACAUAUACAAGUUUACGAUAUGGGCUGAGCAACAGAAGAAAACGUUACCAUUACGGCCUAUGGAAUAACAAUUGCGCAUAUUGCCCCAUCUUGUGACAAAGGAUCCAGAGAUGUCUUAAGCUAAUUUCACCUUGUACACCACAGAAAAUUGUUAAAAUGAUGUUCCAGACAUAUCAUUACUUUUAAAUAUGAGAUGACAAACUAAAGGUUUUAAAAAGUCCUGAAUAACUGAAAUGGACAAAAAUACACAGAUUUAUUCAGAAUGUCAUACUGAUGAAGAUCACCUAAAAAUAUUUGGAAAAAUCAGAACUAUGGAUUUCAAUAUGGGACAAUAUCCCUAAUGCGCCUUGAAAUGAGGAACACAAAAGUCACGUGUAAACAAAAAAUCUCUGUGUAGUGAUAUUUGACACAUUUCUAUGAUAAACAAAUAACUGAGCUGAACCAUUAGUGUUAAUUUAGAAAAUAAGGGAACACAGAAUAAAUGUGUAAAAACCAUGGAGCUAUGAAAUGUGUUCAAAGUAUUAAAAUUUCAAAGAA